rnacentral:misc_RNA from 1 species
GAAUUGAAGCUCGUUCGUAAUACAUUAGCAUCCUAAUCUUCGAGAUCAGAUUGACUCGGCGUAAUAGACUAUUCGCUGAGGAUUAUGUUUCAUUAUUAAGCAUAACUGAACUUGAAAAAUUGAAAGCUUAUAAAACCGACUAUUAGUCAAAAACCCUAAGAUUAGACCUCAGAUCAGAUAGGAUUACCCGCUGAACUUAA